ACCUCGAGUACAGGGCGGAGGUGGAGGGCAGGGCAGGCAGAACCUGCGGCUGGGGCUGGUGAGUGAGGAGAGGGACGGACAGCCCAGACAGCCACAGGGGUGGUCCAAACUUCGGUCCAGAAGGUCCUGAAGCCAUGUAUCUCACCCUUCCACGCGCACAAGUCACCUGAGACCACGCUCAACGAGGAUUCUCAUUCAGUAGGUCCAGGACAAGGGCCUCUGCACUUUGCCAGAAAAGGAGAUUCUGCUGACUUCUGGAAGCACUCGUCAAUGCCAGGGAGAACAGCAGCCGAUUUGGAUUCCAGAGAGACUAAUUAAAGUGAUUUCUACAGACCAAAAAGAAGAUGACUUGGCUCAAAUCCGUAACAGCUGAUAUCCUUACAUCUGCAACAGUGGUUCUCCCACACCUGGAGGCUAAUGAAUAAUGAACACCAUUAGAGCCUAUUUCAAAUGUAAAAAACCUUGGGGCUUGCUUGUGGGAAUACCUUCAGACCCAUAUGCAAGUUACAGGAAAAAGGAUGGGAUAUCCAAAGAAGAGUCAAACCCAGGUGGUAACCAGGAUGCCUUUUUUCAAUAUCUAUUUUAUUAUUGCCUUUUCCCACAUCAUGAAGUUCUAUUUUACUUUUUGAGCUAAUACAGACCUAGGUUAAUGUUUUUCUGAUCAGUUCUAUUUUUUGACUGUGGAGUUUUAAACAUUGCAAUGGAGAUUUCACCUGUAAAAUGCUACAAGGCCUUUCUUAUGUUAUGUGUUGUAUGUAUCGUAUCAUGUGUGCACACUAGUGUUUUGUGUUGUAUGUCUGUAUGUGCAUAUGUCCAUAUAUCAUAUAUGAGGAGUGCUCAUGAAAAAAUGGACCCAAAUAUUUUUUUUAUUCACAUGUUUUAAAUGGUUUAAUUUAAAUUGGGUAAACAGCUGUUGAGGAUUGUUUUGAUAUGUGAACAAAAAAAGGAGGUUAACAGAUCUGUUUGUUUACUUUCACAUUUCCUUUUCAUUAUAUUUAAUAAUUCUGUUCAGGGUAAUGUAAAUUGUUCAGAAAAUUGUUUUCUUAGUGCCUGCUGGAAUGUUACAUAAUUUUUUUUUAGCCAUCAUUGCCAGAAUUCCUGUCUUCAUCCCAGUGCCGCUGAAGACAAAGAUAAAACCAAACUACAGCUUCUUCGAUAGCUAUCACAGUAAACUGUAUAAACUGAUGCAUCAAUGAAUAAUAACUCAACAAGUAAUGCUCAAUCAAGGAGUCGAUUUACUUUGGGAGGAAAUGGACAUAUUAAUGGAUUCCUCUGCUUUGAACUGCUUGCAGAACUUGCAUGGACUAUGUAUCACUUGUAUGCAUUGUGAACUAUCUGUUGGUGCAGCAAAUUGUGGUAGUGCUGGGGCAUCUUUGCUGAUGGUGUCAUCGGUAGUACAAUUUUUCCAAAAAGAGCCGUCAUUUGGCUUGGUGUCGUGGCAUUUUGCAUCCUCUUCCCUUCUGCUUGUGAUAGUCUAAAAUUUGGGGGCCAACAGAGGUGAGGCAAAGAACCUCACCCCCCCCACACUGGUGCAAAGGCCAAAUUUGGGGGCCAACAGAGGUGAGGCAAAGAACCUCACCCCCACACCCACUGGUGCAAAGGCCUAUCCACUAGUAUGGCUGUAUGCUGGACUGGUAGUUAAUGACCGGUAAGAUCCAAUUGCAGUGGUACCAACCUAAGACAGGAGGCUGAUGCCUUGAGGUCAGCUCAUCCGAUGACAGGUAAGAACCAUAUGUAGUAUUGGACAACCUAAGACAGGCACGGUCCCUAAGCCACAUGCUUGGUGUUUAAUUAAACAGAAGGGGGGAGAUGCUGAGAGCCACAGCCGAGUAGGAAUGGCCCCUGGCAUUUUGCCAGAAGUAAUGGUUGAGAGGCGAGCCAUUAAGAUGAUGAUAAUUAAGUUAAGCUGUGUCAAUAGGGCGGCCCCUGCUGCCUCAGGCGCCCGCUACUUGGGAGCUCUCUCGGGGAUUCCUGGAGAGUUCGCGUUGGAUGGGGAAGUUCUGGGAGAGUGAGUUCCAGUUGAUGUGUGGUGUGUUCCUGGAGGAGCCACGUAGGUGGCGUUCGGGGCUGUGGGAGUUUGGAAAUAAAGUUUGUUCCUGCUUGA